AAGUCGUAACAAGGUUUCCGUAGGUGAACCUGCGGAAGGAUCAUUAACACGUAUCCAACGUUAAACAACCCUGUGAACUUUCAGCGCUCUUGUAGCCCCGGAGGAACAGCAAUCCCGGUAAAUCAAAUGGCGGAAAGAGUUUUGAUUCGGGACCUCUGUCCAAAAGGUAUCAAGUUACAAUCGAGCAGAGCAGUGGCAUGGUUUCCCUAAGCAGUGCAGAAGGAUCCACUGAGUAAGGAUAACGCAUCACGGUUGCCAGAGGUCGAUCACCGGCCGGCAGACAUGUCACAGGGCUUUACGCCCCUCGCGGAAACGCCGGGCAUAAAAACCGAACAACUGUUAACAAUGGAUAUCUUGGUUCUC
rnacentral:misc_RNA from 1 species